GUUUAGUCGACAGCUUUCUUACUCUUUACUUUAUACUGUCAUUCUCACGACUUCUGUUCUGUUCAUCUAUUUGUUUUGCUGUUCGUAUCUUCAUAUCUCAACCGCCUGUUUUACGGAAAGUCGAAAGUAAAAGACACAUAUUCGUAUGUAAUAUUUAUUAUAACAAAACUGAGCGUUCAGUUAUUUUCUCAAUGGUAAAUGUUUUCUCUUCACUAACGUGGAAAAACGUAUGCAUUAAUACACCGACCUACACGACACAGUAAAAAUCACUCAAUGUGUUUAUACGAGAAUUAACAUUGAUAUAUAUAAGCAUAUACUAAUCUACAUGGAUAUGUGUUAAAAUGCAUACACAGUAUAUAGCUUGUUACGCAUCAAACAAAAGAAACGAUAAAUUCGAGAGCGAGUUAGUUAUACUAUCUGGAGGAUAAGAUCUGGAGGAAAACGUAUAAUUUAUAGAUAAUUUGAACUGUAUUAAAUAUCAAAAAAUACAAAAAUAUGGUAUAAAAAAAUAAUUUAACAAAUAACAUUAGUAGUAAGAACACUAAUAUAAUAUAAGUUUUAUAUGUGAGUAAUGAAA